CAGCCGCCGCGGUAAUACGUAGGUGGCAAGCGUUGUCCGGAAUUAUUGGGCGUAAAGCGCGCGCAGGCGGCUUCCCAAGUCCCUCUUAAAAGUGCGGGGCUUAACCCGUGAUGGGAAGGAAACUUGGAAGCUGGAGUAUCGGAGAGGAAAGUGGAAUUCCUAGUGUAGCGGUGAAAUGCGUAGAGAUUAGGAAGAACACCGGUGGCGAAGGCGACUUUCUGGUCUGUGAUUGACGCUGAGGCUCGAAAGCGUGGGGAGCGAACAGGAUUAGAUACCCGCGUAGUCCCUGUCUCUUAUACAC
rnacentral:rRNA from 1 species